GAGAUGAGCUCGUGUUACCUCCCUACGAGAGUAGAACAGUUGAUUACAUCAAAACAAAAAAUUAAAAGGAAGCGAUUUGCAUAUACUAUUUUUUUUUUCAAAUGCCUUGCUAAGGUCACAAGAAGUCAUAAUCAUUUCGUCCAAAAAAAACUUUAUUUAUACUGUAUAUACGAAAAUACAAAAAGGGAACACAGGACCAUCUUAUAUAAAAAUAUGAACACAUUAAAAGAUCUGUCGUUCACAAAAUACAAGAUUACAAGUAGUAUGGCUGUAUUGACAGCAGUUCAAGGAAGGGGUAAUCAUGCUUACCGGAGUUGGCCUCGGGGCUCCAC
rnacentral:misc_RNA from 1 species